UACAGAGGGUGCAAGCGUUAAUCGGAAUUACUUGGCGUAAAGCGUGCGCAGACGGUUGCGUAAGUCAGAUGUGAAAGCCCCGGGCUCAACCUGGGAAUUGCAUUUGAGACUGCGUAGCUAGGGUGCGGAAGAGGGAAGCGGAAUUUCCGGUGUAGCGGUGAAAUGCGUAGAUAUCGGAAGGAACACCAGUGGCGGAAGCGGCUUCCUGGUCCAGCACCGACGUUCAGGCACGAAAGCGUGGGGAGCAAACAGG
rnacentral:rRNA from 1 species